rfam:Oryza nivara chromosome 8, whole genome shotgun sequence.
AAAAAGACAAGCCCUAGGUUUCCGUGUCCAACGUUUGACUGUCCGUCUUAUAUGAAAUUUUUUAUAAUUAGUAUUUUCAUUGAUGUUAGAUGAUAAAACAUGAUUAAUACUUUAUGCGUGACUUGUCUUUUUUAAUUUUUUUAAAUAAGAUGGACGGUCAAACGUUGGAUACAGAAAUCAGUGUUUUUUUUUACG